GACGAACGCUGGCGGCGUGCCUAAUACAUGCAAGUCGAGCGAAGUGGAGAGAGCUUGCUCUCAAAGCUUAGCGGCGAACGGGUGAGUAACACGUGGGCAACCUGCCUGACAGACUGGGAUAACUUGGGGAAACUCAAGCUAAUACCGGAUAGGAUCGAGAACCGCAUGGAUUGCGAUGGAAAGUCUGAACGACACUGUCAGAUGGGCCUGCGGCGCAUUAGGUAGUUGGUGGGGUAAUGGCCUACCAAGGCGACGAUGCGUAGCCGACCUGAGAGGGUGACCGGCCACACUGGGACUGGGACACGGCCCAGACUCCUACGGGAGGCAGCAGUAGGGAAUCUUCCACAAUGGGCGAAAGCCUGAUGGAGCAACGCCGCGUGAGUGAUGAAGGUUUUCGGAUCGUAAAACUCUGUUGUUAGGGAAGAACACCCGGGAGAGGAUCCCGGUUUGACGGUACCUAACGAGGAAGCCCCGGCUAACUACGUGCCAGCCGCCGCCGUAAAAC
rnacentral:rRNA from 1 species